AUUAAUAGGUAUGGUCUUUAAACUUAAAAAAAUUGGCGGUAUUUAAAUCUAAUUAGGGGAAUUUGUUUAUUAAAUGAUAAUCCUCAAGAAACCUUACUUUAAUUGAUUUAAUUUAUUUAUUGCCGUUAUCAGAUUAUUUUUUAAGAAUUAAAAAUUUUCUAGUUUUUUUAUUUAAAAAAUUAUUUCAGGUCAUUAUGUAGUUUAUGUUAAAGUUUAGAUGAAUUACAAUAAAUUAUAUUUAUAUGAAUAUAAAAUUGCAAAAUUUUAUUGAAAGUGGACUUAAUAGUAAAUAUUAAAUUAUUAUUUUAUUUUGAAAUAAGAAUUAAAU
rnacentral:rRNA from 1 species